AACGAACGCUGGCGGCAUGCCUAACACAUGCAAGUCGAACGAUGGCUUCGGCCAUAGUGGCGCACGGGUGAGUAACGCGUGGGAACCUGCCUUUUGGUUUGGGAUAACUCCGGGGAACUGGAGCUAAUACCGGAUGAGCCCGAGCAAUCGGGGAAAGAUUUAUCGCCAAAAAGAGGGGCCCCGCGUCCGAUUAGGUAGUUGGUGGGGUAACGGCCUACCAAGCCUACGAUCGGUAGCUGGUCUGAGAGGAUGAUCAGCCACACUGGGACUGAGACACGGCCCAGACUCCUACGGGAGGCAGCAGUGGGGAAUAUUGGACGAUGGGCGCAAGCCUGAUCCAGCAAUGCCGCGUGGAUGAUGAAGGCCUUAGGGUUGUAAAGUCCUUUCGGCGGGGACGAUGAUGACGGUACCCGCAGAAGAAGCCCCGGCUAACUUCGUGCCAGCAGCCGCGGUAAU
rnacentral:rRNA from 1 species